rnacentral:lncRNA from 10 species
UUUGUAGGUUUUCAACUUUAAAAUAUAUGCUAUAAAAUAAGUUCAUUUAAGUAGGCAUGAGCCACCGCGCCCGGCCUAGAAGAGUUUUAAUGAACCUUCCACAGUAGUAAAUGCAGAGACCACUGGUGGAAAUUCCCAUGUUGGAUAGAAAAGGGCGUAAGUCCAGUCUAAGUAUCUAAAUGUGAUAUGCCCUUUUGUCACAGAAGUGUAAGACUUAAAGGGAAUAUUCUGACCUUCGUGUAUGAAUCUGAUCCACCCAUCCUGUCAGCUAGGAUUAUAAUUUGAACUGUCGUUUCAGGAGCAUGUGUUAAAUCAUAUGAGUAAAAAAAAAGUAGACAUUGAAAAGAAGACUUGGGAAUAAUUGGGCAGAUAGAAUGGGUUCCAUGGAUCAUUCUAGUUGCCACUAGAAAAUGUGAGCUCCUUCUUCAUUUACCAUGUUGAUAAUCCGGUGGUGACUUUUUUUUUUUUUUUGUAAAUUGUAUUAGAUACCCCACAGGAAUGUGACAAUAAUAGGAUAGCUUUGGGGGCUGGUGAUUUGAAACAGGGACUAUUAAGUAGAUUUUCCCCCAUCCUCUA